GAUGAACGCUGGCGGCGUGCCUAAUACAUGCAAGUCGAGCGAACGGACGAGAAGCUUGCUUUUCUGAUGUUAGCGGCGGACGGGUGAGUAACACGUGGAUAACCUACCUAUAAGACUGGGAUAACUUCGGGAAGCCGGAGCUAAUACCGGAUAAUAUUUUGAACCGCAUGGUUCAAAAGUGAAAGACGGUCUUGCUGUCACUUAUAGAUGGAUCCGCGCUGCAUUAGCUAGUUGGUAAGGUAACGGCUUACCAAGGCAACGAUGCAUAGCCGACCUGAGAGGGUGAUCGGCCACACUGGAACUGAGACACAGUCCAGACUCCUACGGGAGGCAGCAGUAGGGAAUCUUCCGCAAUGGGCGAAAGCCUGACGGAGCAACGCCGCGUGAGUGAUGAAGGUCUUCGGAUCGUAAAACUCUGUUAUUAGGGAAGAACAUAUGUGUAAGUAACUGUGCACAUCUUGACGGUACCUAAUCAGAAAGCCACGGCUAACUACGUG
rnacentral:rRNA from 1 species